ACGCUCGACACCUACGGGAGGCGGCAGUGGGGAAUAUUGCACAAUGGGGGAAACCCUGAUGCAGCGACGCCGCGUGAGCGAAGAAGUAUUUCGGUAUGUAAAGCUCUAUCAGCAGGGAAGAAACUGACGGUACCUGACUAAGAAGCACCGGCUAAAUACGUGCAGCAGCCGCGGUAAUCUGAGCGGGCUGGCAAGGC
rnacentral:rRNA from 1 species